rfam:Ictidomys tridecemlineatus contig086691, whole genome shotgun sequence.
AGCUUUGUGCAGUAGCAGUAUAGUAGUCAAAGAGGUUUAUCCAAGGUGCGAUUAUUGCUAAUUGAAAAGUUUAUAUACUUUAUAUUCUGAUUUUGUCAAUUGUUCCUAAU